GGAAUAUUGGACAAUGGGGGAAACCCUGAUCCAGCGAUGCCGCGUGUGUGAAGAAGGCCUUAGGGUUGUAAAGCACUUUCAGUUGGGAGGAAAAGUUUAUGGUUAAUACCCAUAAGCCUUGACGUUACCAACAGAAGAAGCACCGGCUAACUCUGUGCCAGCAGCCGCGGUAAUACAGAGGGUGCAAGCGUUAAUCGGAAUUAUUGGGCGUAAAGCGCGCGUAGGUGGGUUAAUAAGUUGAAUGUGAAAGCCCUGGGCUUAACCUGGGAAUGGCAUUCAAGACUGUUAUGCUAGAGUAUGGGAGAGGGAAGUGGAAUUUACUGUGUAGCGGUGAGAUGCGUAGAUAUCAGAAGGAACACCAGUGGCGAAGGCGACUUCCUGGCCUAAUACUGACACUAAGGUGCGAAAGCGUGGGGAGCAGACCAGAUUAGAUACCCUGGUAGUCCACGCCGUAAACGAUGUCAACUAGCCGUUGGG
rnacentral:rRNA from 1 species